CCUACGGGAGGCAGCAGUGAGGAAUAUUGGUCAAUGGACGAGAGUCUGAACCAGCCAAGUAGCGUGAAGGAUGACUGCCCUAUGGGUUGUAAACUUCUUUUAUACAGGAAUAAAACGAGGCACGCGUACCUUUCUGCAUGUAUCUUACGAAUAAGGAUCGGCUAACUCCGUGCCAGCAGCCGCGGUAAUACGGAGGAUUCGAGCGUUAUCCGGAUUUAUUGGGUUUAAAGGGAGCGUAGAGGGGUUGAUAAGUCAGUUGUGAAAGCUUGAGGCUCAACCGUAAAAUUGCAAUUGAUACUGGCAGUCUUGAGUGCAGUUGCGGUAGGCGGAAUUCGUGGUGUAGCGGUGAAAUGCUUAGAUAUCACAAAGAACCCCGAUUGCGAAGGCAGCUUACUAAGCUAUUACUGACGUUGAUGCUCGAAAGUGUGGGUAGCAAACAGGAUUAGAUACCCUGGUAGUC
rnacentral:rRNA from 1 species